UCCGGAGGGUGCGAUCGUUGCUCGGAAUCACUGGGCGUAAAGCGUACGCAGGCGGCUCGUUAAGUCGGGUGUGAAAGCCCGGGGCUCAACCCCGGAAUUGCGCCCGAUACUGGCGAGCUUGAGUACGGGAGAGGGAUAGCGGAAUUCCUGGUGUAGAGGUGAAAUUCGUAGAUAUCAGGAGGAACACCAGUGGCGAAAGCGGCUUCCUGGCCCGAUACUGACGCUCAUGUACGAAAGCGUGGGGAGGAAACAGG
rnacentral:rRNA from 1 species